UACGAAGGGUGCAAGCGUUGCCCGGAAUUAUUGGGCGUAAAGCGCGCGUAGGCGGCUUGGUAAGUCGGGUGUGAAAGCCCUCAGCUCAACUGAGGAAGUGCGCCCGAAACUGCAGAGCUUGAGUGCCGGAGAGGGUGGCGGAAUUCCCCAAGUAGAGGUGAAAUUCGUAGAUAUGGGGAGGAACACCGGUGGCGAAGGCGGCCACCUGGACGGUAACUGACGCUGAGACGCGAAAGCGUGGGGAGCAAACAGG
rnacentral:rRNA from 1 species